rnacentral:tRNA from 1 species
GGCCUGUUGGCUGCUCAUUUGGGUAGAGCGCCGUGCUAAUAACGCGGAGAUCAUAAGUUCGAUCCUCUUACGGGCUA